rnacentral:rRNA from 1 species
UACGAAGGGGGCUAGCGUUGCUCGGAAUUACUGGGCGUAAAGGGCGCGUAGGCGGACAGUUUAGUCAGAGGUGAAAGCCCAGGGCUCAACCUUGGAAUUGCCUUUGAUACUGGCUGUCUUGAGUUCGGGAGAGGUGAGUGGAAUGCCGAGUGUAGAGGUGAAAUUCGUAGAUAUUGGGAGGAACACCGGUGGCGAAGGCGACCACCUGGACGAAGAUUGACGCUGAGGCGCGAAAGCGUGGGGAGCAAACAGG